AUUGAACGCUGGCGGCAGGCCUAACACAUGCAAGUCGAACGAGGGGCGGAAGGGUGAGUAAUGUCUGGGAAACUGCCUGAUGGAGGGGGAUAACUACUGGAAACGGUAGCUAAUACCGAAUACCAUCGGAAGUGCACAGAUGGGAUUAGCUUGUAGGGGGGGUAACGUAUCACCUAGGCGACGAUCCCUAGUUGGUCUGAGAGGAUGACCAGCCACACUGGAACCGAGACACGGGCCAGACUCCGACGGGAGGCAGCAGUGGGGAAGAUUGCACAAUGGGCGCAAGCCUGAUGCAGCCAUGCCGCGUGUAUGAAGAAGGCCUUCGGGUUGUAAAGUACUUUCAGCGGGGAGGCGUUACCCGCAGAAGAAGCACCGGCUAACUCCGUGCCAGCAGCCGCGGUAAUUC
rnacentral:rRNA from 1 species